GUAGGGAAUCUUCCACAAUGGACGCAAGUCUGAUGGAGCAACGCCGCGUGAGUGAAGAAGGCUUUCGGGUCGUAAAACUCUGUUAUUGAAGAAGAACGUGUGUGACAGUAACUGGUCAUGCAGUGACGGUAUUCAAUCAGAAAGUCACGGCUAACUACGUGCCAGCAGCCGCGGUAAUACGUAGGUGGCAAGCGUUGUCCGGAUUUAUUGGGCGUAAAGCGAGUGCAGGCGGUCUUUUAAGUCUGAUGUGAAAGCCUUCGGCUUAACCGAAGAAGGGCAUCGGAAACUGGGAGACUUGAGUGCAGAAGAGGAGAGUGGAACUCCAUGUGUAGCGGUGAAAUGCGUAGAUAUAUGGAAGAACACCAGUGGCGAAGGCGGCUCUCUGGUCUGUAACUGACGCUGAGGCUCGAAAGCGUGGGUAGCAAACAGGAU
rnacentral:rRNA from 1 species